GGGAUACAGACGCUGGCGGCGUGCUUAACACAUGCAAGUCGAACGAACCUUCGGGUUAGUGGCGGACGGGUGAGUAACGCGUGAGAAUCUGCCCUCAGGAGGGGGAUAACGGUUGGAAACGACCGCUAAUACCCCAUAUGCCUAUUGGUGAAAUGAAUUUCGCCUGAGGAUGAGCUCGCGUCUGAUUAGCUUGUUGGUGAGGUAAUGGCUCACCAAGGCUUCGAUCAGUAGCUGGUCUGAGAGGAUGAUCAGCCACACUGGGACUGAGACACGGCCCAGACUCCUACGGGAGGCAGCAGUGGGGAAUUUUCCGCAAUGGGCGAAAGCCUGACGGAGCAACGCCGCGUGAGGGACGAAGGCUUUUGGGCUGUAAACCUCUUUUCUCAAGGAAGAAGAUAUGACGGUACUUGAGGAAUAAGCCACGGCUAAUUCCGUGCCAGCAGCCGCGGUAAUACGGGAGUGGCAAGCGUUAUCCGGAAUUAUUGGGCGUAAAGCGUCCGCAGGCGGCUUUUCAAGUCUGCUGUUAAAGCGUGGAGCUUAACUCCAUCAUGGCAGUGGAAACUGAAAGGCUUGAGUAUGGUAGGGGCAGAGGGAAUUCCCGGUGUAGCGGUGAAAUGCGUAGAUAUCGGGAAGAACACCAGUGGCGAAGGCGCUCUGCUGGGCCAUUACUGACGCUCAUGGACGAAAGCCAGGGGAGCGAAAGGGAUUAGAUACCCCUGUAGUCCUGGCCGUAAACGAUGAACACUAGGUGUCGGGGGAAUCGACCCCUUUCGGUGUCGUAGCUAACGCGUUAAGUGUUCCGCCUGGGGAGUACGCAGCAAGUUGACUAAAAUGAAUGACGU
rnacentral:rRNA from 1 species